GAUGAACGCUGGCGGCGUGCCUAACACAUGCAAGUCGAGCGAUUCUCUUCGGAGAAGAGCGGCGGACGGGUGAGUAACGCGUGGGUAACCUGCCCUGUACACACGGAUAACAUACCGAAAGGUAUGCUAAUACGAGAUAAUAUACUUUUAUCGCAUGGUAGAAGUAUCAAAGCUUUUGCGGUACAGGAUGGACCCGCGUCUGAUUAGCUAGUUGGUAAGGUAACGGCUUACCAAGGCGACGAUCAGUAGCCGACCUGAGAGGGUGAUCGGCCACAUUGGAACUGAGACACGGUCCAAACUCCUACGGGAGGCAGCAGUGGGGAAUAUUGCACAAUGGGCGAAAGCCUGAUGCAGCAACGCCGCGUGAGCGAUGAAGGCCUUCGGUCGUAAAGCUCUGUCCUCAAGGAAGAUAAUGACGGUACUUGAGGAGGUAGCCCCGGCUAACUACGUGCCAGCAGCCGCGGUAAU
rnacentral:rRNA from 1 species